UGGGGACAGUGUCUCACCUUGGUAUAUUCUGCACUUGAUGGUGACUUGUGUGAUUGCCUUGGAGUUGGCCUCCAGUGACAUCUUCCACAGUCCCACUGAGUUUUUAAACUCCGU